rnacentral:snRNA from 1 species
GAUGUAAGGGCCAUCUGGCUGAGAUACCUGCCACCCAUUGAUAGCCAAUAUUGAAUUGACUGAUCUGACUGCCUAGACUGGUGUCCCCUUCCUUAAUCACCACUCUGAAGCUGUAAGCUUGGUAGAAGAGGAUAGCUAGUCCACAUAGGAGUACAGUUCUUCUGUUAAAGGUAUACACUAGUUUAGAACUGCUGCUAUAAUUUCCAUUAAAACACAAGAAUAUGGCUUUGAAAUCUGAGACAAGAAUUCUUGGGAUAGCUAAUGGCUAUGGGUCAUAUUUU